rnacentral:rRNA from 1 species
GAUGAACGCUGGCGGCGUGCCUAAUACAUGCAAGUCGAGCGAACGGACGAGAAGCUUGCUUCUCUGAUGUUAGCGGCGGACGGGUGAGUAACACGUGGAUAACCUACCUAUAAGACUGGGAUAACCUCGGGAAACCGUAGCUAAUACCGGAUAAUAUUUUGAACCGCAUGGUUCAAAAGUGAAAGACGGUCUUGCUGUCACUUAUGGAUGGAUCCGCGCUGCAUUAGCUAGUUGGUAAGGUAACGGCUUACCAAGGCAACGAUGCAUAGCCGACCUGAGAGGGUGAUCGGCCACACUGGAACUGGGACACGGUCCAGACUCCUACGGGAGGCAGCAGUAGGGAAUCUUCCGCAAUGGGCGAAAGCCUGACGGAGCAACGCCGCGUGAGUGAUGAAGGUCUUCGGAUCGUAAAACUCUGUUAUUAGGGAAGAACAUAUGUGUAAGUAACUGUGCACAUCUUGACGGUACCUAAUCAGAAAGCCACGGCUAACUACGUG